CAGCCGCCACGGGAAUACGUAGGGUGCAAGCGUUAAUCGGAAUUACUGGGCGUAAAUCGUGCGCAGGCGGUUAUAUAAGACAGAUGUGAAAUCCCCGGGCUCAACCUGGGAACUGCAUUUGUGACUGUAUAGCUAGAGUACGGCAGAGGGGGAUGGAAUUCCGCGUGUAGCAUUGAAAUGCGUAGAUAUGCGGAGGAACACCGAUGGCGAAGGCAAUCCCCUGGGCCUGUACUGACGCUCAUGCACGAAAGCGUGGGGAGCAAACAGGAUUAGAGACCCCUGUAGUCCCUGUCUCUUAUAC
rnacentral:rRNA from 1 species